UACAGAGGGGGCAAGCGUUGUUCGGAAUUACUGGGCGUAAAGGGCGCGUAGGCGGCCCGCUAAGUCGAACGUGAAAUCCCCGAGCUCAACUCGGGAACUGCGUCUGAUACUGGAUGGCUUGAGUUUGGGAGAGGGAUGCGGAAUUCCAGGUGUAGCGGUGAAAUGCGUAGAUAUCUGGAGGAACACCGGUGGCGAAGGCGGCAUCCUGGACCAACACUGACGCUGAGGAGCGAAAGCCAGGGGAGCAAACGGG
rnacentral:rRNA from 1 species